GGGAAGUAUCAUUAUCUACACAUUCUCAAGUGGGUUCUAUAAUGGCACCUCAACUCUUGCUGGUAUUAUUGGCACCGUGAAGGCUCAGGGAAUGGAGGGCUUUGUUUUAGUUGCAAACCCAAGCUAUGGUGAUUAUAUUGCAGAGCCAAUGCCUUUGAUCCCUCGUGUGGAGGAUGCCAAGGCUAUAUUACAUUACUAUGAAGAAAAAACAAAGAGGAACAAGAAAGGAAAUGCCAAAGAGUUUGGUGCUUUGGCAGCUGUGGGAGAAGGAAGACUUGCCUCUUUCACAGGAAGAUCAC
rnacentral:sRNA from 1 species